rnacentral:ncRNA from 15 species
CUACAUCUAGUGUGUCGUGGUCACUCGGGUCGCAAGGACGGGUGAUAAUAGGGAAGCCGGUGCGGGCAAUUGCUCCAGUCCGGCGCUGCCCCCGCAACUGUGAUAGCCGGCGCUGCCGGCCAGCCAGAUACCUGCCACGACAGGUUAGUUCGUC